ensembl:misc_RNA 7SK 7SK RNA
GGAUGUGACGGCAAUCUGGCUGGACAUCUGUCACCCUACUGAUCGCCAGAAUUGAUUCAGCUGAUCUGGUUGGCUAGGCAGGAGUCCUCAUCCAAGAGCUUCCCUCUCAAAGAUGAGCAGUCUGUUGAAGAGGACAAACUUCCCCAAUAGAGGAGGACUGUUCUUCGGUCAAGGGUGUAGAGUAGCUAUGCUCCCUUUCUAGAACCCCCAAACAAUCUCUCAAUAAAUAGAUUAAGCAAAGAGAGAUACAUUUUGAGAAAUCUAUAACUUAGGGGAUUUUCUAA